rnacentral:lncRNA from 1 species
UACUGGAAAAUUCCUGCAGGCGCAGCUGAAGCCAGCGCCAUCUUGUAAUGGCGAUUGCGGCUCUCCACAAGGGUGGGGUUGGGAAUGAGAAAUGGGAUGUGUGGAGAAAGGAGAAACUGAGAUCAUGACUUAUUGUAUGAAACAAUUGAAUGUGAUAUCAGAAAAGUCCAGAGCAACAGGGAUUCCAGGGGCAUAUAUACAAGGCAGAAAAAUGCAAUUGACAAGCUCUAGAAAAAGGAUAACCAGAGGAUUUCAGGUUCAGCCAGGAGUCCACACCCUUCUAUUGUACCAGAGGCUCAGGAAUCAAGGAGCAACACUCAUGCCCAGACGUGAACCUGCCUGAGCUGGCUGAAGGUACAAUGGACUGAGGUGAUAAUGUGCAGGAAACAUUUGCAUCUUAAGUACAAGUAAAAUUAGAAUGGGCAGAAAGAAGGUGGCUGAAGAUCUCCUGAGAGAGAGAGAGAACACAGAGCCUGACUUGCUGAUUCUCCACAAUAACCAGCUUCUAUCACAAAGGACCCCUGUAGUUUAUACAGCUAUCCAAGACUUAAUGCUAGACGUUCACCUAUAAGUGAAGACAUGUCAUUUGCUAGAAUAUUAUUGUCAUAAAGUAUGAUCUAAAGGAAUUCUGCUAGAAUGACCAGACAAGUAAUUAAUGCAUCAAUAUAUGAUUGCCCUUACUAUUAUCUACUUCAAUUUAGAGAAGGUCACCAUGUGAAGUAUAUGGAGAGUAUGAUCUUUUGAGUUGACCUUGGGAUAUAAGCAACCAGGAAAAAGCUGAAAAAAGAUUCGGAUUGGAUCACAUGCCUGAAUUUGACCAAUCACAGUACAGUGCACAGGAGGAGUUAAAAUGUCUCUUGAAGCUGUCUGCCAAUCAAGGCUCACAUGAAGAUGCAGCUGCUUCAGGGGAACUGCAGUCUCCAGGCCUGCCAACUGGUACAUUCCAUGUAUGACAGGAAUUCUUGGGAUGUGGAAUCUAAAACAUCAGCCAAGGGCAAAGCUGAAUAUCCCACAGUGGCGUCUAAUGGAGCAAAUGUAAGUGUCCAUGGAGCAUAUAAGAAGGAGAACGAAAAGCAAAUAUGGAAGUUAUCCUCCAACUACUUAAGGGAUGCCAAGAUCCAUGAGAAAAUAGAGGAAACAGGAAAGUAGACUCUUUUAGAACAUUUGCAAGAAGCCUGGCCCAGCUAAGGACGCAACUUCAGGAUUGUGGCUUCAUGAACAGGAACAGAGUUCGCCACUACAGGGAUAAGAAACUGCAUAAGAGCAGCACAGUGAGAGAGACCAUGGCAGUUGCUGAAAUGUAUAUGAGACAAGAGAACCAAGUCUAAGGAAGAAUUCAUGAGGGCUCAUAUAUAAGCAGGAAACUUGGUGUCAUGGUUUCAUACUGCCAGGAGGUAAGAUACAAAGAAUC